GUCUUCGUGGUGUAGUGGUUAGCACGCUCGGCGCGUAUUCGAGAGGUCCGUGGUUCGAGUCCCGGCGAGGGCA
rnacentral:tRNA from 1 species